UAGGGAAUAUUGGACAAUGGGGGCAACCCUGAUCCAGCCAUGCCGCGUGAGUGAAGAAGGCCCUCGGGUUGUAAAGCUCUUUUGUCCGGAAAGAAAAGCUUCGGGUUAAUACCCCGGGGUUCUGACGGUACCGGAAGAAUAAGCACCGGCUAACUUCGUGCCAGCAGCCGCGGUAAUACGAAGGGUGCAAGCGUUACUCGGAAUUACUGGGCGUAAAGCGUGCGCAGGUGGUUGUUUAAGUCUGAUGUGAAAGCCCUGGGCUCAACCUGGGAAUGGGAGUUGAAACUGGGCAGCUAGAGUGCGGUAGAGGGUAGUGGAAUUGCCGGUGUAGCAGUGAAAUGCGUAGAGAGCGGGAGGAACAUCUAUGGCGAAGGCGACUGCCUGGACCAGCACUGACACUGAGGCACGAAAGCGUGGGGAGCAAACA
rnacentral:rRNA from 1 species